rnacentral:lncRNA from 1 species
UUCCGCCGCGGAGGAGGAAGCAACCGCGGAAGCUUGGGUCUUCUGUCGUUUCUCUCGUCGUCUCUUCCGUCGAAUCAGAAGCUGCUCCGUCAAGUCAUCCGAGUUCGUUUGAUAUGUUUCCACCUCCGUUUCCUGCUUCUCCUCUCCGUUCCUCCUCUCUACAUCUUCUUCCUCUUAAUCAGUGUCCGGGUCCUCCUCCUCUUCCUCUUCUCGAUCAUCGCUUUCUCGUUCAUCCUCUCGAUCUCUCUCAAGUUCGCUCUCCCUCACCUACCGUCGAUUCGUCUCUUCAUCGCUCGCUUGCUCUCCCUGAGCCCCACAAGAUCCUCCUCCUCCUCUCAAGAGAGGACCAAACAGGUUGUUUGGUCUAUCGGGUCGAAGCCAGUUACAGAGAAGAAGACUAACUCUGGCUCUUGGGUUCAGAAGUACAGCUCUGGGGAUGUGUACGAGGGAGAGUUUCUUAGAGGGAAGUGUUCAGGGAGUGGAGUUUAUUACUAUUCGAUGAAGGGUAAGUACGAAGGGGAUUGGGUUGAUGGGAAGUAUGAUGGCUUUGGAGUUGAGACGUGGUCUAAAGGAAGUAGGUACAGAGGUCAAUACAGGCAAGGGAUGAGACAUGGAACUGGAAUAUAUAGGUUUUAUACUGGGGAUGUGUAUGCUGGUGAGUGGUCUAAUGGACAGAGCCAUGGAUGUGGUGUGUAUACCUCUGAGGAUGGUAGUAGGUUUGUUGGAGAGUUCAAAUGGGGUGUUAAACAUGGUCUUGGUCACUACCAUUUCAGGUGAGAUAUCAUCAGUUUUUAUGUUGGUUUGUUUGCUAGCUCUGUGCAUUGUCUUUUCUUAUUGGCUCGAACACUAUAGAGUCAUUUAAAUGUGUAGAAAUGGUUGAGCUUUUGGGUAUAAGGGUGAACUUUAAAGCCACAUGUUAUUGAUGUCUAAUGGUUUGGUAAAGUUACUAUGGUUUCUGAAAAGUUUUGGUUCUGUCUCGACUUUGUCGUCAUGGUUAGGCUGUAGUAGGUCCAUGUCUAUGUUGCUAGUGGGGACGUUCUAAAAGUGUAUUGCUUUCAAUCAUGAGUUCUUGAUGAUGGAUUGCUAGGCGCCCCUCACCUUUUUUGUUGCUGACUUGAGCGUUGAUCAUAAAACAAUUGCAUCAUCUUCCCUUCUUUAGUGAUUACGCAUCUGACUUGAAAGUCAUGUAUGUCCCUAUUGCAGAAAUGGCGAUACAUAUGCUGGAGAGUACUUUGCAGACAGGAUGCAUGGUUUUGGAGUGUAUCUAUUUGGAAACGGACAUCGGUAUGAAGGAGCCUGGCAUGAAGGGAGAAGGCAAGGGCUUGGUAUGUACACAUUCAGGAACGGUGAGACACAGGCUGGGCAUUGGGAAAACGGUGUUCUCAGCUGUCCUACCGAGCAGACCACCCGUCCCGAUUCAUCCUUUUCAAUCAGUCACUCCAAGGUUCUAGACACUGUCCAGGUAGCCUAUAAUAACCUUAUCUUUAAGAAUUUAUAUCCAGUAAUUGGUUCAAAUGAAAUGGGUUACGCUUAUGAGUUUUUAACCCUUAUCUCUUUUCUCUCUUCUGUUUACAGCAAGCAAGGAAAGCAGCUGAGAAAGCACGUGAAGUUGUGAAAGUGGAAGAGAGAGUGAACAGAGCAGUGAUGGUCGCAAACCGAGCAGCUAAUGCUGCUAGAGUUGCUGCUACAAAGGCUGUUCAAACCCAAACAUAUUACAGUAGUGGCGGCGGCGAUGAUCCCUUGUGAGUAGUUACUGUGGCAAGAGCUUUUGACAUAGUCAGCAACCGUGAAUCUCACCUCGAACCUCUUGGAUGACACGUGAUAGAAAGAGAGAGAGAGAAAGACGUCUAGAGAAGACACUCAAAAAUUUGCAUCUACGUUGAGAUUUUUGUGAAGGUAAACGAACCACUUGGAACCAUUGUCGAGAUCUCAUAAGUAAAUAAAUAAUAGAGAUCUGGGCUACGGAGCAAGGCUAUACAGGUUUCCUCCCACUUCUUUUAGACUUGUUUUUAUAAGCAAGGCUGGUUUUAUAAACUGUACAUAGAGGUUGUUGAAGAGUAAGCAAUGCGUGUUAACAAUAGAUCGUUGUAACCCAAUGUAAGAGAAGCAACAAAACAUUGUCUUCUUGUUACAAAAACGUGUGAAAAUAACAUCUCUUCCCACUAAGAUUGCUUUUAAUAGAAAAAAUGAGAUGAGAAUCCAGAUUUGAGUCAACUUGACAAACCCCCAACAAAGAUAAUAUAGAAAACUGACAGUUAUUAUAGAUAUGAAUUGAUGUUGUACAAAACUGACAUUAUAUAAACUUAUCCUUGAAAGUAUCAAACUUUUACCAAAUUCUGUUUUUUUUUUUAUGUAUACACAAGAAACCCAGAUUGAUUGAUUGAUAUAACAUUGUAAGAGAAAAAAAAAAUGCAUACUGUUUGAGAUAUCUUUAUUCUUUAUUAUCCAUUACCACACUGUAUAAUGUACCUAUGUGGGUGAGAAUCUACACUAGAGAAUCCUCCUCAACCUUAUCAAUGAUCUUACUUCUGACAAAAGUUUUGUCACAAAACCCACAUAAAGGUCAAUUCCUGAGUGUAACAAAAGAUCUUUGUAACCCAUGUAAGAGAAGAAGCAACAAAACAUUUGUCCAACGUGUGAAAACAACACCUCUUCCUAGUACAUUUCUUUCAAAAUAGAAAAUGACAUGAAAAUCCAGAUAUGGAUCAACUUGACAGAACCCAACAAGAUAUAAUGUACAAUGAACUGACAGAAGAUUAUAUGCAUAUAUGGUCAAUGACAAGGUUCAACUACAAGUAAGACUGGACGAACAACAGAAGAAAGCAAAUCACAAGCAUCCUUAACUUUUCCGCAAAUCCUUGCAGCUCACUUCAAGUUCAAUCUUAGGAGGUUUUUCAAGAAGAGAAGUUAGCUCAGAAACAAAUUAAGGUCCCCAAGACAGAGUCACGCCCCUCUUCUCCAACUCCCCUUCCUUUACUUCAUAGAGCAACUUGAUUGCGUUAUCUGUUGAGAGAGCAUGCAAUGGAAUUAUGUAAUUUCUGAAACUUGUCUCUCGCUUCCUCUUCAUCAAUCAGAUUCUCUUUUACCUCCUCAGGGAGUAAGGCCAGCGCACUUGGAAAGGGUCAAACAAACAAUUAAGUUUCAUCAUCCAUACAUACAUACAUACUUGGCAAGCAACAGUGGGCAGCUGAAGUUACCUGGAAACACCUCUGACAAAACCAAAAUUGUAACCCUCAAGAACAGAUUCCUUGAAUUCUCCUCCUCCAAACCACCAGCGUCUUUCCCAGCCAAAAUCUAGGCUAGAGCAAGAAAAGAAACCAAGACGAUUUCGCACUUGUCAGUCCAUACAUUAUUAGGCCAGGAAUAUUAUCGAACCAGGGGUUUAGGAUUACAACAUAACGUAACAUCAUGAACAAACGAAAAAGAGAGUCAAAAAAAAAAUAUGAAACUGUAAAGGAGAAACCUUCAGAUGACAGCAUCGUUAGUUAGUUACGGCGGCGAUAGAACGACCAGGCAAGAGAUAGAGAGAGAACUUGGAGAGAAUUAGUAAUAAUGGAGCAGUCAAGGAUGAAUUUGCAAUUUCUAAUUAAAAAAAAAGUGUACAUUUUACUUUUGAUUUAACGCAUGAAGGUUAAAAUGGGAACUGUUCUCAAAUAUUGGCACAUGCCCAUCAUAUGAUUUUCUCCUGCAAUUAAUUCUAAGGAGAAAUGACCGAAAAAAAUACCAUAAAAGAGAUGCAGAAAACCAAAUGGUGGCAAUCUCCGGCGUAUUCUCCAACGUCUUUUGCAUUUAUCUCUAGCUCCGGCUUGUCCAUUUCUCGUUUCUCCUCUUUCCAUUCCUUCGAAAAAAGAGCUCGGCGGUUUGAUCGAAGAACUCCAUCGCCGAUUCUUCUUCUCUUCCUCCUCCCCCAUUCGUCAAUUAGGUACUCCAAUUGAUUCGAAGAUGGAAGCUCUUUGUUUCGAUUUCGAAUAUUGUUGCCACUUACAAUUUCCAUAAUGUUGAUAAUAAUUUCUUGCACUUUGUUCCGAGGAGCAAUUGUUGUAUAAACCAUGAUGUGUUCUCAUAUGAAAAAUUUACCAAACAAUUCAAUUCAUAAGAAAUGCAUAUUGAUCGAGGAUCGGGAUAAGAAGAGGGUUGUAAGAAAAAAAUUGCAUAUUAUAAUGAGAUGAGAGAGUUUGAAGAUGGAAAUUUCAUAGCAUACAUAGUCAUAUAAAGUGUUGUACAUCAUCUUCUCUUUCUACAAAUUCUAAAGCUUUAACACUAUACUGCUUUGUUCUCACUCUCUAUUGUUUAUUAUUCAUACCAUACUAUAUAUGUACCUACAGAUAAAAACAAUAGAUUUUAUACUUCAAAAUUAAUAUGAAAACAUCGUAGAUGUAAAUAACUGGUGAAAAGAGCGUUCGGAGAAGAGAAGAGAAGAGCAGUCACAAUUCACAAAUUGGAUAAACACACUAAAAACAUUGCAUCAAAUUGAGAAUGCAAGCAUGUAAUUAUAAAAACAGUCCUAAAAAUUAAUACAUAAUUAAGAAACAGACCCCAUAAUUUUUAUUAGUAGAUGUAUUUAUGUGAAUGUAAAAACAAAAAAGAUGUGUAAUGAAAAAAAUGCAGACUUACAUAUAGUUGGAAAUUCUCUGGCCAGUCGCUAUCGGCAAAUGAGAACCGAGUGCGUUUGUUUCCAAGGAAACUGAAUGCACCGCCCAUUUUUUUUUUUGAUGAAAUUUUAAAUUUAUUGAUCAUCGCUAAAAGAAUAUAUGAAAACAUGUACAACUAUGAGCAGUUCAUACAACUACCGCCCAUUUUUGUUGUGCUAUGGAAAAGAUAGAAAGAGAAGAAAUUAAUGAGUGUGUUAGUGGAUGUAUUUAUAGUGGCGGGAAACUAGGUUAUUGUUAAUGGGUCUUAGGCGAACCCAUAUAAUAAUGUGACUCUAAUAAAUAAAAACUCAACUCAAAUCAUUCUCCAAUCUGAGACCAUAACAGCUUUCUUCAUUCCAAUAACUCGGACGGAUCCCCCAUAGGUGCAUAUAAGUAGGUACUCCAAUUGAUUCGAAAAGCUCUUUGUUUCGAAUUCAAUUGUUGCCACUUACGAUUUCCAGAAUGUUGGUAAUAAUUUCUUGCACUUUGCUCUGAUGAGCAAUUGUUGUACAAACAAUGAUGUGUUCUCAUAUAAAAAAUUUACCAGACAAUUCAGUUCACAAGAAAUGCAUAUUGAUCGAGGAUCGGGAAAAGAGGAGGAUUGUAAGAGAAAAAAAUAGCAUAUUAUAAUGAGACGAGAGUUUGAAGAUGAAAAUUUUAUAGCAUAAGUGUACAUCAUCUUUUCUUUCUGCACAUUCUAAAAGCUUUAAUAGUAUAUUGCUUUGUUUGUUUAUUAUUCAUACCACACUGUAUUGUGUUACCUAUGUGGAGUGGAAAUUUUACACUAGAGAAGCUUCCUCAACCUUCCUGCUUCUUCUGACAAACCCAACAUAAAGGUCACUUCCUGUAGUGUCUUCUUCAGAUAAUUGUCUCCUCCUCCCAUCACCACGACCUUCCUUCAUCUUCUUCACAAACUCCACCAGCUGCUGCCAAUUUUGACCCUCAAACAACCUCUUGUUCAUUCUCAGGUACGUAAAUGUUGUCAACCCGUUUCCCGAAUCUGACCUAUUCGUUGCAACCACCUGUCCGAACGCGCUCGAGUCGUAUCUCUCUAACGCAUUCUCCCCCGCUAGCUCUGUUCCAGCCUGCCUCGUCGCGCUCUGCACUUGCUUAACCAGACCUUCUGGCGAGCAGUUCGCGUGCUCCGGUUGUUCACCGUCUCUCAUCUCCAUGCAGGUGAAGUUUAGGACAACACCGUGUUUGUUGAACAUCUUAGCUAUUGGUAGAUACCCGUCGUGGUUUCUUGUGUUGUAGUAUCCAGCGGUUAGCUCAGCGGCGUGUGACCUGGUGUUGUAGUGCCAGUGGAUUCCGGCUACUUUUCCAGAUAGCUUAGCUCCGGUUCCUUGGAAGACUCCUUUAGCUGAAGCUAGGAGCUUGUCUCCGUGCUCAAGUAGCUUCCCUGAGUACCACUCCAUGAAGAACUUUCCGUACUCGCUGUUCCAUGUCCCGUCUCUCCUGAAGAAAUCAGUAUCUUCCGGGAGGUUCAUGUACUCUCCGGCGUCAUGUGGUCCACUUGUUCCCCAGUUAGUCUUUCUGACUGAUUCAGCGUAUGCUUGAAGGGACGAUCUCAUAUACUGCAAAUCAAGAAGUAUCGUGAUCUUAGAAGAAAGUGGUUGGAUGUUCUCAUCAUGUCAUGUCUUAACAUACCUUGUCAUAGCACUGGAACUCGCCAAUUCCAGGGAACUUCCAUGUCCCGUUGCUCUCAGGGUAUGAAGGGUAUCUCAAUUCUCCACAAGGUCCCAUUCCCACUUGAAUCUCCUGUAAUAACAUGAAUAAGUGAUGAUACAAUAUGAUUAGAUCACUGUAUAUUUGCUCAUGUGUUAUAUGAAGUUGAUUUUAUGAUCUGCUUACCGCAAUAACUCCUCCUAUGUAAUGAUCAAAUCUUUCACGGAAGCUCCUCAUGAAAUCUGAGUAGACCUGGAUAGGUGUUCUUCCUCUUAGGACAGGGACAGAGUCACAUCCCAAGGAGAUGUACUCAGGGUUCCUUCUUCCAGAUUUGUCUGUGUAGACAAGAUCAGGGUUCUUGCUGAUCUCUUCAAGCACCCAUGGGGGCAAGGGUAUACUAUAUUUUUUUAAAGAGACAAACCAUUAGCUAAGCUAGAAAUAAAUAGACAAGAUCUUAUUCAUUAGAGGCCUUUCAUUACCUGCAAGAGUCUCCAACGUUUCCACCACAUUGAUGGAAAGACAUAACAACCUGGAGCUUGAGACCAUGCUUCUGAACCAUAUGUAUAAGCUCGGCAUAGCCUUCCCAAUUAUACUUCAUAGGUCCAUCUUUCUCCACCAACCCCCACCAAGCAUCAACCAUUACACCUUCUACGCCAGCUCCUUUUAGAGCCAUCAAACUGGCGUUCAUGGCUCUUGGUUUGUUCAAGUGCCCUGACAUUGUCACCGUGUCCAGCGGUAACAUGACGAAAACAGGAACGCUGGAGUCAUUCUUGGGGUGUGGGUAGGAGAGAACGUGGAGCUUCUCCCAUCUUUGAGUGGCUUCUUCACCUUCUAGCUUGAAAGUCUUCUCAUGAGUGAACAUUUCCUUAACCGAGCUUUUUGCUUGGAAUUGAUAAGUUGGUGGCUUCAUUUUGGCAAAUGACAUGUUGGAGGAGCUUUCAUGGUUUCUUGAGCUUUUUGUAUCUUUACGUUUGAUUAGAGAACUUGAGGAAUUUAGUGUUAACUCCAUUGUUUUCUUUCUCUCUGUUCAGUUGAACAAAAAAUGAGUAGAGAGAGAAUAGAAAUGUUGGUGUUUGAGAGAAGAGAUAUGUUUGUGUGUUUGAGAGAAGAUGAUGCUUGUGUGUUUGCAUAUUAUAAAGAAAACUGAUUGGCUGUGAUUUAAAGGACAAUAUUUGACUAAAAUGGAGAGAAAAUAUCAUAAAAGGUUGCCUUAGUUCCAUUUUUUCACAUAUCACAUGGUUCACACACAAACCAAAAUGAAAAAGUGUAGAUUUCACAUCAGUAGCUACAUACUACAGAUUUUCAAAUUCAUCGGUGUAUGCAAGUGUAUGUAAUUAAAUUUAUUUAUCCUCAUGUUGGUAAAUUAUUUAUUUACUCACUACUGCAAUAUUUAUCUAAUCUUGAAAUUUGCUCUUGAUAAUAUAGAUAAGCUUUGAACACAUGGUUCGUGUGGCUUAAAAUGUUUUUUAAGGUCUCUUGAUUCUAGUUUGGAAAAGAAGAUAAGUGCAAGGAAGGAUUUAUUUCAGUAUUAAAAUCAAUAUCUUGUGGUGGCUGUUAACUCUGCCUUUUUUUUCUUCUCCUUGGACUUCCCUUCCUGAACGAUUUGUGUUUUCCAACUAAGCACCAGUUCAUUGACCCAUCUAAUAUUUUCUAACAAAAAACUAAUAUUUUCACUGAGAUUUGUUCUCAUGGCCAUCUUGCCUGGUUGAGCAAGUAAACUAAAUUUAUAUUGUUUAAAGUGCGACAGUUUGAUGCAAUAAGCCCUUAUCAGUAUAGUGUAUGUAAUGCUUAAUACUUGUGCCUUUGAUCUUUUAUAAGCCAUUUGAGUUUCACAUGUUCUGUUCGAAACACGACCAGGCCGACUGCAAAUAAUACUGGGAAUCUUUCUCUAUAUUUAUCUUUUUCUAGCUGACUCAUUUGAAAGUGACAAUCUGGUCUUUAUUCAGGUGACAUAGAUUGCGCUUUUGGCUAUUUCUUCAUCGAGGACAAUGUUGUUGUCUUUAUUCUCGUUUUUAAUUCUCACCAUUAGUUUUUUUGAGCGGUAGGAAAUUGAUCCUUAUCGCUUUGGCACCUUCUCUUCUUUGGCUUGUGCUUUUCUAUUCACAAGGUUCUAGGAGUACACUGACUCAAAUAUGUACGCUCUCCGUAUCCUAAUCUAGGAAAAUGUGUUGUAAAUAAAACCGGGAGGGUUAUAAUUUUUGAACAUACAUUCCCAUUAUCUAUCCUUAUGUUAAUUCAAAGACUAGAGUAAUCUUGUGCUAAUGUAUCUAGAUGUAUAUAAUGUUCGGUUUCCGGUUUUGUUCGGGUAACAACGAUAUACUAGAUUUUGAUUCGCGCUUAGAAAGCACAUGUUUAUUUUUGAAAUUAAAUAAAUUCUUCUUAUAAUAAAUUCUUCUUAUAUAAUUUUUAUAUAAGAUAAUGUAUAGGCUUGAGUACAUUUAUUCAGAUGCACUGAACUAUACCAAACUGAAAAAAAAACAGAAUUAAGCUGAAUUUCAUAAAUAACUGAGCAUAUUCUAUAUCUUUAGAACCGAAAAAUAGAAACCGAACUGAGAACCAAAUAAAUACUUCAAAUUUUAAAAUAUAAAUUAUAUACCCACAAAUAUUAAUUAUAUUUAAUUUAUAAAUAACCAAAUAUCUUAAAAAUACUAUUUAUAAACUAAAUUAUGCGAAAAAAAUUAAUGACUCGAAUUUUUUUAUUCAAACAAUUAAUAGUUAAUUUUUUAUCCUAUUGUUUUUUCAAAUAACCUAAACUACCCGAUUUAAAGCGCAAGAUAUUUUACAUUUGUGAAAAUUCAAUAAAAAGUAUCAUAUGCAUUGUUAAAAUUUGUAAAGUAAAUAAACAUGUUCUAUUUAAACUAGUCUUUUUUUUUUACUAAUUCCAUUUAAAUCUCCAGUUUAGAUCCAUUUGAUUUUUUUAUGAUAAAAUUAAUCAUUUAAAUUAUGGGAGAAUAAUAAAUGAGUUAAUUUAAAUUAUGUAAAGUAUUUAUAUAGUUAGAGAAUUAUAAAGCAAGAUCAAAAAAUAGUUAAGUUUAAUGAAAUGGUCUAACAAACUUGUUUAAUUAGAUUUUUUAAGAAUUUUUUUUUUAAUAGUACAGAUGCUUGCAUGUUGUGACAACACGCUUUAUUGUGACUUUUUUUUUGACUACUGUGACUCUUUUUGGUAUUAAAAAUAAAGCUCUACGGUAAGCAUUGUUUGUUGGAAAAUAAUGACUGUGACAUUGUUAUAUUGUUGAGUUGGCUUUUAAUAUUUUAUUAAGGGAAAAUUCUUAUUGUCAUUUUCACUGAAAUCUUUUCUUUCUUUCUUCUAGAGCAAGUAAACAAAGUUUGAUACCUUUUUCUUUAAUGUCCACGGAAACUUUUGAGCUUUGUUAUGGACCGAUGGUGGAAAAAGUACAAAGCGUAUGGACUUGUUCACACACGCAUCAGCAAGUUAGUGAGUCUUCUUCCUACGUAACUUAACCCUCCCCACUAUUCUUUAUCUUCCUAUUUCUUACUACUAUACACAUAGUUUCAGACUUUAAUCUUCAGUUUUUACUGCUUGAUCUUGGUCCUUAUCUGAUCUGAUUAGACUUCUCUGUCUUGGCAUUAAAAACUACAGUUAUAAUCCAUGUAAAUCGUGGGAUGAUGACUUGUUGUAUUGGCUUAACGAAUUUGAUUCGGUUGGUUUGUUAGUAUAGAUAAGGCAAAACGCUAAACUAAUCUUCGUAUAAGUAUGUAGCGUCUUGUGAAACAUAUAGUAGCUAAAGAGGGAUUGUAUAAGGCGCCACAACCUACAACGAUUUGGUUUUGGGGGUUAGGAGUUAGGACAAUGGUCAAAGGGUAUUUAUCAUCAUCUAGGCUUAACUCUAAGUUGAACUUGUGAGACCUUAAGAGGUCAGAACCUUAACAGUUAAGCUUUUAGUUUGUCAAAUUGUCUGUAAGAUAAUUUUUUCUGCUUUGGUAAUGUGAUAACUGAUAAGUGAACAUCCAACAGAAAUACGUCUUUUACCAAAAACCAAAUACAAAUAUCACUUCGAAUAGAAAUUAUUACAAGAUAUUUUAUCUCCCAUUCUUCUUAUGUUGAAUCAUUUUCAGAAAGGACAAGACACUGUUUCCCAUAAAAAAAUAUCCAAGGAAGAUAUUUCUAGUCUACAUGUAGACAGAAUAAUGCAAAGAUAUUUUGUAAUUGUUUUUUUGAUUCAGGAACCAACAAGAGAGGUUUUCAAUAUUCUGCAAUGGGUAAAGUUGAACCGUUGUUGCCAGGUCGGUAACAUUUGACAUUGACACUGCAUGGACCCAACUGAAUGUGAUUCUCUUCUCUGCCCAAUCACAUUGUGUGUAGAGAGCCAAACUCGAACUCUGGACUUAUUCCAACUAGAGUACUCGACAAUGAUUUUACAACACAGUUUUACUCAGAAUUGGAUCAUUAGCAUGUAGCUUACUCUCUGAAUCAGGCUGCAAUAGAACUGAGUGUGUGGUAUCUCCAAUUUUAGAACAGCUUUCUGUGGAUUAAACGAAAGAUGAUCUCAAGACUGACCUCCUUUCUCAAGUGCUAUACCGUAAUACAUAAUUACGAUUCUCUUUUGUCCAAGCAUAUCAUUGUUUUUUUAAAUUACAGUGUUGCAAUCUUACGGUAACUAUGCAGGGAGACAAAAACAUCAUCAAGUUUGAUGGUGAUCAAAACUCUUGACUUAGAGUUAAGAUUCUUCUACAAUGUUCUAAGUCUGCUUCAACUUUAUUCAGUGUGCUCAUCUAAACACGAAAGUUAUUACAGUUUGGGAGAUAUAGAUCCCCUAUUUACUUCUAAUAAACAAGAUCUUCGACCUGCGUCGUCUCUGAAUUAACUUAUUAAACAGAUUUUAAUAUUUGUAUGUAUAUAUCUUCUCUGCAUCUUAUCAUGUACACUUCCGCCUUCGACUUGGCAAAUGGAACCACAAAUAUAGCCAAUUACCAUUUACUCUGUGAACUAACCACAUUACUGUAUCGAUUGCAACGCGAAUGGACUACACGCCUAACUCAAAUCAUACACUCUUAGAUAACGUAAAACACAUCUUUUUAGAUAAACGAAUAAUCAGUUUCGAAAUCCACCACAACACAGUCACCAAACCGAACACCAAAAACGAUUUACAAGUUCUAUUAGAUAAUUUUUUUGCUUACAUCAUCUGUGAUGAUUUUUUUUACAUGAGGAUAUAGGCACCGUUCCCUAUCUUAGCCGCAGCAACCUCCUCCUUGCGACGUGGAUCCGUCUCUUCCACCUGAUGGCCCCGGGAUUCCUCCAUAUCCAACUUUUAUUCCAUAGGACUCAUUCGACACAUCAAACACACCAUCUUGAAUCUUUUUGUAUAUCGUUGCCGCUGUCUUUAUGAAAGCCUAGCAAUGAUUCAAAAAACACACAUCAAAAUCAUGGUUUAGCACUUCUACUGGUGUGGGGUGUAAAAAGUGGAAUCUAAUUCUGGUAUUAUACGUUAUUCUUUCUCAUAUAUGAACUCGAGGGGACACGAUGGGAUACUAGAGAAAGUAUGUGGGCGAUAACAUGGGGGAAUGCAUGGAUGUUAGUGUACCUCUUCGACAUUCUGAGCAGUCUUGGCAGAGGCCUCCAUGAAAAUAAGACCGUGCUCCUUUGCAAACUGCUCACCUUCCUCAGUGGUGACAGCCCUUCUGUGGGCAAGAUCACACUUAUUCCCAAUGAGCAUAAUGGUCAUAUUAGCAUUUGCAUGCUGCCUUGCAUCCUCUAACCAGCUAGCUAGAUGGUUAAACGUCUCCCUCCUGCAAACAGCGUGAGCAAAUAUUGUCAGUAUCUUCACCCGCAACAGUAACAGAGUUCACAACAUACAAUUCUAGUUCUCGUUCUCUAACAGAAAAAAAAGAAGGAAAAUUUCAACAAAUACAGCUUAUAUCACUGUGUCAAGAAGAUCAUCCUCAACAUCUAGCUACUACAACUACACAGAAACACGAUCAAGCCAAUUCUUGAUAACAAAAGGCUAGUGCAUCACCUAGUGAUGUCGUAGACAAGCAAAGCCCCAGCAGCACCUCUAUAGUAGGAUCUUGUAAUAGACCUAAAUGAUUCUUGACCAGCCUGCAAGAAUAUAAAGAUGAUGGGGAACAAAUCAAACACCAGUCAUGAAAAAAGGCGUAAGGAGGAGGAGGAGGAGGAGGAGGAAGAGAGUACGGUAUCCCAGAUCUGGAGUUUGAGGGGCUUGUUGUCGAUGGUGAUCAUCCUAGCCCCAAACUCAACACCGAUGGUGAGAUCAUGCACCGGCUGAAACCUCUUGUCCGUGAACUGAAGCAGAAGGCAUGAUUUCCCUACUCCUGCAUCAUCAUCAUUCAUCACAAUCAAUUUGCAAAACAAUCAACAUCCAUCAUCCCUUGUUUCAUCUCUUAAUUUCCUAAUGAAUUAGAUCCAGAUCAAUCGUUUUUUUAGUAACUAAACACAUGUAUAUAUAUAUAUAUAGGAUCAUUCAUAAUGAUCUGAUUCAUCUCAAUUUCUCCUAGUGGAUUGAAAAGGAACCGAAGAUGGUGGAGUUACUUACCAGUAUCACCGAUGAUGAUAUACUUGAAGAGAUAAGCGUAAGACAUUUGAAGUUGGAAGAAAUCGAAUUUCUGCAGAUUCUCCGACGAGACUCUCUUUGUUUCCCUAUAUAAAUGACGGAGGCGGUUUAAUUUCCAGCAAUUCCAACGACGCAAUCAACCUGUGUUUUGUCAAAAGUUUUCUAGCGUUUCCCUUUUUUAUAAUACAACUGUAUGGCAUUUUAUUUAUUUAAAAAACCACAUGCAGUUUCCAGAUCACCACAUGGUCAAUUCAUUGGAGAAAUAUUUUCACUCUAAGUCACUUUCCUCGUCAUUUAUUACAUCCCAAGACACAUUGUUAUACUGAAACACUUUUCUUAACUUUCUCUCUUCCUUUUCGUUAGAUUCCAAACAUAAAGAAACUAACUAGAUUACUUUUUGGCGGGAUUAGCUCCCAACCAUUGAUCUUAUUUUAGCUCCAACGCUUCAGAUUUGAUCUGGUAGAUCUGGAAAAAACACAUAUUUUCCAUUUAACAACAACCAUUGGAUCAAAAAUCUUCUCUCCUAUUUUUAACGGUCUGGAUCAAUAACUUUCUCUUCUAUUAUUCUCUUUCAUCUCCCCCCUACGGCGUCGAUUUUUUCUGUGUUCAUCAAUGGAAAAAAAAAACUGAAAUUUUCCUAAUUAAUCUAAAUUUCUCAACUCUAGUUUGUGUGCUAAUCUUGUUUCAUAAUUUUUUUUCUGUAAUCCCAACAUCUUAACACUCGUUGAAUAAUAACCGUGAAACUUGUUGUAGGUAUCUUCCAUGGCGGAUCUCUAGAUGGUUGUCGCUGGCGAAUGGAAGACGUCCGACGAUGGCAACUGGACAUUCUCAAUCGAUAAACAUCAAAUGUCCAGGAUCGUUACUCUCCGACCAUGAUCGUUACUCUCCGUUCAACUAGUCCCCCUGCACCUCGUACACCUAUACUUCAUUUAUCACUAUGUCCAUCUGUACAACACACUUAUAUGUACGCAUGCAAUUAAAAGGCAACACCCCAGUUUCCAGACCAUCAGACUAUCAAAUUAUCAAAUUAUAAAAACGUUCAUGCCUAUAGAUUUCUCAUCAGUGAUCAAAACUGUACUGCUUUAGCUCUUUGUUCACCACAGCGCCACACUAAUUACAACCAUCUGUCCAUAUGUACAACCAUGGUUCUUUAUCCGCAUGUUGACAUUACCGUAUAAAAUAAAGAACACAUAACCAUACUUCGAUCGUAUUCAAGCACCCACAAUUCGAAUGUAGCAUGUAUACUUCUAGGUGUGUCCAUAUGUACAACAUUAUUUUAUUCUCCGCAUGUACAAAGUGCACAGACCACUAUCAUACACAUGGAUUUCGCCUGGAAAAAUAUUAAUGUUCUGUGAUGUUCAGUACCUUCUUUAUCCCGCAAUUAUGAUGUUUCAAAUCCCCAGCUUUGGAUUUUCAAAAUCCAUGGCAUGUAUACUUUCUCUGCUUCACUAUGUGUACAACUAUCCUGCAUUGUCCGCAUGUACACAGCUUAUAAACAAACAUCAUACACUAGCUGGAUCCAACAUAGAAAUAUUUAGGAAUAAAAAUUAUCAAAUUGCUUCAAAUUUGGUAAAAGAUUAAAAUACCCAAUACAUGCAUACAUUAGUUGGAUCCAACAUAGCAAUAUUAGGAAUAAAAACAUCAUUCUUACAACCAUGUUCCAUACAUAUCAUACAAGCAAACCGCAAAAAUCAAACCUCACACCAUCCGAUUAUCAACUAAUUCAUCCUCACACUUCGUCUCAGCUGAAUCACCGCCUCCCCACUCACAUUUUUGGAAUUUAUGCCAUGCCUUCAAUAUUUCAACCAUGUAACCCACUUUCCUAUCGUGAAUCUCACAGUCAAACUCUCCCGACCCUGCCUCCUUAUCCUCCCCGAGUUCCAUCAUUGGAUGCACGAUUAGCUGCAAAGACAACACAAGAAACAUCAGAACUUGGCUACGAACUUCAGUAUACCAAUGCAUGGGGAUAUAUAUGUUCCCGCUAGCUAUUGUAUUAGACCAUGUAUUUAUCCUUGAAUGAAGUUAUCCCUAUCGUGAAAGAGUGGUAAACAUUUUAUGUACUCACCAAUCAGAAUGAAUUCAAGUGUAUAAGCCUCGGUUUCACAUUUGGAUAUUUAUCUAGAUUAGGAUAGGAUCAGUGGAGAAGAUGGCAUUUGCCCCUAUAAAAUGUACAAAUCUUUUGUAACUUAACCAAAAUCUAGUUAUUUGCCCUUAUUAAAAAUUAUUAUGUUUAAGCCUUAUACUUAUAUUUAUAUAUGAUUUGCCUUCUAUAAAAAAAGGUUCUCAAUAUCAUCCUUGGAUCGGAUAUUUCAAAUUUUUGCACUUUUGGAUUUAUCCUCUUUAGUCCCAUUCAAAUAUUUCAUAAGUACGAGUCGGAUUUUAUUAAUACCACUUUUAAGUUUAUAUUUUUUUCUCAAAAAAAAAAGUUUAUACAUAAUUUGUAACACUUCCUUAGUUCUAUAAAAUUAUCAUAUAUCAUUUGGUUUCAUGUUAUAUCAGUUCAGUUCAAAUAUAUAAAUAAUAAAAUUAAAAGGAAAACAUGAUCAAGAAAGUAUUUAACUCUAUAAAAUUAAUCGAACAUACAUUAAUCCGACAAAAUAAUAACAUUACAAAGUUUACACACUGAAAUACUAAAAACGGUUUUAAAGAUAAAUAUUUGGCCGGUUUGUUUAUUGCAAAUGCAACACUAUAAUGUGAGAAACAUCUUGACCACCAUGUUUACUCCUAUGAAACAAAAUAACAUCAAAACAAAGUCUUAAAUCAAACAUUAAUAAAAUACAACGUUUGAAGAUAAUAUGCAUUACCUUAGCGAUAGAAACAUAAAGUGGAUUUCUUAUUUCAAUGAACAAAUUCUGAAACAAAGAGCAAAACAAAGAGAUCAUUAUAAACAACUUGAAUACAGCUUUUUCCGUUCGAGUUAAAUUAAUAACCCUUCGAAUUCAUAUGUGUUUUAUAAUAUCCUACAAAAUCCAUUAAGAUAUUUUACAUCUUGGAUCGGAUAUGGAUCAAGUUUUUAGGUUUGGAUCUUGGGUUUCUGAUUUAUGCCUAGGCCUACAUACGUAUAACAACUUUGUAUUUAAGCUUAAGUACGAAGCCGAAUCUGAAGAAAGAUAACUCAGUACGAUCCUCGCCAGACAGACCAAUUUUGUAGGUGAUUAAAUAGUGUACUUGUGAUGAUUAUUAGUUUACAAAACAUUCGUAAAAUGUACUUACGGUAAUAUAAGAUGCAUUAAAUAAAUAAUGUGUGAAUUUAGAGCUGACGACAGUGCCUUUAUCUUAGUGAUAAUGAUGUCGUUCAUGCACACAUAGAGGUAUGUAAGGGUUUCAGAAAUUUUGAUGAUACAACAACUUUAGCUAAUAUUAUAGGAGAAGCAGUACUAUAUAUAUACAUGCAAACAUUUUUAUAAUUUAAUAAGCACUGAUUCAUUGUUAUCGCAAGAUGGACGAAUGCAAUAUAGACUAAUAUUGACAAAGAUAUCUUAGAACCAAUCUCAUGGCCGUAUCAAUCUAGUCAGCUGAGCCACUGUGAGAAACUUGAACCUGCUUGGUUUGAACUUGAUCACGAAUUAAGUGAUAAUUAAGUGAAAUAUAUGUUUACACAAAAGUAAAACACAUGAUUAGUACAUAGAUAUGUGACAUGAACAUUGUCAUACUAUAACCGAACUAUCAAAUUUUAGAUUAUGUUAAAGGGAAUUAAGAAAGAAAUACUAGUUUGGAAGUACUUGCAACAUGAAGCGCCGCUAUAGAAAAAAAAGACGAUUUCUGCGUUCUCCUUCUCCGGUGGCCGGCGAGCUUUGUCGAUGCCGUGAGAAGGCCUUUAGUGUCUUUAGUCUUAGUUGAAGCUAUCAAUAUCCCUAGAGACCUUUGGAUUCAGAUCUGACUUCGAUCUGAUCUUGUAGCUGGCGUGGGUAGCUUAAUCAGAUUCGUAGCUUUUUCUGGUGCGCGGUGCAGGUUAUACCGGCUCUGAUGUGGGGUGGUACUUCUUCCAUCGGAUCUGGAUAAGUUGUAAACUCUGUUGGCUCAUAGGUGAUUGUCAGGCUUAUCCCCUCUUUGUCUCUGUCUUGGAUGUCGUUUGGUUUCAGUCUCGGUAGCUGUCUAGUUUCUAUGUCUUUUUCGUGGUCUACAUCCAUUACCUUUCGAUAUGAGUUCGGUUCUGCAACAAGAUAGCCGUUAUGGUGUGAUCUUGUGUAGCUUCAUCCUGAAGCUACUUUGUGGUGGCAACUCGAGGGAGUGUAGCGGAUUAUGUUAAAGGGAAUUAAGGUUUCUUCAGCAUUUUAGAGAUUGAUGGGUCUUCCGACUACCUGGUCUUGUCGUUCGACUUCAGUGCUUGUUUUUAGUUAUCUUCAGCGGGUGGAGCUUCAGUGUUGUGAAUAUGUGCUGUCUCUUGGUUUGUAACCAACGUUUUUUCCGGAUUACUUGGUAAGACGCUUUGAAGCAGUGGCUCAAUUGCAUGAUGUUUUGGAGUAGUUAUUUGCCAAUCGUCGUCUUUAAUGGUUGCUCGAGUUGGAGAUUUGUUCUCUUGUGGCUUCUUGUUGAAGAAGCAGCUUUUGUGUUGUGGUUUGUUCGUGGGUUCAGAGGGGAACCGUUCUUGCUGUCAUCGCUUUCUCGCUCAUAUCUUCUUCCAGCUUUUUUUAGCUCCACAGCUCCAACCUUGUUCUCUUCUUUCAGUUUAGUGUUUCAGUUAAGUUGAUGUUUCAAACUAUCUCUGGGAGGUUAUUCUUACCUCACCGGCUUAUGACUCCGGAAAGGUACCUUUGUCUUCUCUGUGUAAUCUUUGGUUGAAUUCAAUAUAAAUUUACCAGAUGAAAAAAAUACAGUAAAACCUCUAUAAAUUAAUAAUGUUGGGACUACAUCAAAAUUAUAAUUUUUUAAUUAAUUUAUAGAAAUAUUAAUUUAUCGAUAUACUAAUUGAACGAAAAACUAAAUUUGGAACUAUAAAAUUAUAUUAUUUUAUAGAAUUUUUUAGUGUAUAUUAAUUUAGAGUAUUAAUUUAAAGAGGUUAUAUUGUAGUUGCAACAUAGUUUUACUAUGGUAAGAUAUAAAUGUAAAACCUAAUGACUAAGCAAACUCCACUGGCCCAAUUCAUAUUGUGUUUACUUAUAUUAAAAGCCCAAUGUCCAUGUAUUUCUAUUUUCUGAGGAAAUAGAUAUGUCUCAUGUAACAUGAGAUUUAAAAAAUGGAUUUAAAAAAUGGACGUUUAGGCCCAUACGUAAAGAAGGGAAGAACAUGUCAGCAUCAAUGGUCCAACCCAGACCUACUGAGACACGUGUAGAACUGCAUCUCCCUCGCACGUUGAAAAUGUAGAUAAUUCCAAAUUGACAAUUGAAUUGCUGAACACCAUAAGAAAGGACCAAUACACGAUACGAGUCACAUCUGAAUAAAAACGGAAUAUUGAAAAAAAAAACAUAAAAUGUACAUCUGCCAAAUACAUUAAUUGUCAAUUAACUACAGUUUGGACCGUGACAAGCUCAUUACUGCAUGAGUCAUGCAAUGUUUGGACGGUCGAAAGGCCAAAGCUCGCACGCAGUUAUGUCAUCAUACUCGACCCAUCGGUUUACCUACAAGUGUCUACCAGAAAGCUACACUACAUAUAACAUAAAAAUUGCUGAUAAUUUUCUAUUACUCGCACAAAUUUACCAAAUAAAUUGAGUUAAAAUGAUGGUUUAACUCUUUUUUUUUGUUGUGUCAGCAAUGGUUUAACUCUUAAAAGAUGAGUUUAGUGAAAUGAAUAGUUGUAACUCCAAGAAAAGAAAAGGAGCAUGUGAACCAAUGAAUGUGUUGAAAGCAAAGUGACAAAUGGAUGAAGAACCCGAAAAGCAAUGCAAAUAUAUUGACUCUUGAGUUUUUCCAUGUUGAACAGUGUCCGUUCUCCAAGACAUAAAUAUUCUAGUAAAAUAAAGAAAACAAUUUAAAUUAGAGUUAUUCGAAUAAAUAAGAAGGUAGUAACGUAUUGACCGAGAAUAAAAUAAAAAACUUUAUUCUGCCUUUCGGACAUCUUAAGCAUAGGCAAAAUUCUCUAACUGAUAAAAAAAACAUUUUCUAUUUAUUGUCUUUAAAUUGUUCCUAACCAAAAAAUGAAAAAUCAUUCGUACACAAAGAAGAAGAGUCAGUGAAAGGAUCGUUGCCGUGUAAUGAUGAAAUCAUCUCCCAACCACAAAUCUCGCAGCUGAUUGAAGAAAAAUGUUUUGUGCUCUGUUGAAGAAGAGAAAACAAAACGUUGUCGUUUACUUUGUAACCACAUAACACGUUGAAAAUAUCGAGAUGGGUUUCAACAGAGGUUUACUUACGACGAAGACUUAUAGUUCUUGUGGUGGUUUGAAGCAGUUUAUGUACGGAAACGCUUUCACGACUCUCGAUGCUUUCUGGGUUUCUCUCUGUAAUCUCUUCUUUCUCCUCCUCGCCUCCAUCUUCAGGUACUGUACAUACGUUUUCUUCUUUCUUGUUCUCUCCUCUGUGUUUUGGUUGAUUAAUGGGUUUUGUUUUAUUAGAGUUUAUUCAGACAAAGAGACAAGCUUGGUCGUGGUUAAGACUAACAACAACAACAACCCAAGAGAGUCCUCUGUUGAUGGGAGUUCUCUGGUUUCGAUCAGCAAGAGAUGCGAUUAUUUAUCCGACAAGAGCAUCACUUGUUACGUAGAAGAAACUAAACCUGUCCGCUUUGUGUUUCAUGAUUAUUACCCCUCUGCUGUACAAGAGGAGAUGAAGAUGAUAACUUUCUCUGAUGAAUCGAACACGAGUUUUGUCCUGGAGAAACCGUUUGUAGCUGACGACAACAAGUUGGAGACAUCACUAUCGGAAGGUUGUUUUAUAAAGGAACACGUGAAGGAAGAGAUGUUGGUUUAUGAGUUCAUGAGUUGUGGUGUCUUAAAAGGACUUUUAGCUCACGAGAGUUUUGCUGGUUGUGAAGAUAACUUGUCCGAAGAGGAGGAGGAGGAUGAGUUUAUAGAACUCAACCCAAGUUUCCAGAGAGAAGAAGAGUCAAAGAUGGGUUUUAAUGAAGAACAAGAAGCAUAUGAUUUUGAUGAUGAUGAUGAUGAUGAUUCAGAUGAUGAUGAUGAGUAUGAGCAUAGUGAUGUGAUCGAGAAACUGAAAACAGAGAUAAGGACAGCUAGAACAGGAGGGUUGUGCACCAUUCUUGAGGAAUCAGAGACUCCAUUACAAGAGCUGAAACCACUCAAGAUUGAACCAAGGCAAGAUCAGUUCAAAGACAUGAUCGGUGAGGUUCACAAGGUUUACAAGAACUACGCUGUGAAAAUGAGAAAGCUCGACGUCAUUGAUUCUCAGAUGAUGCAUUCCAUCAGUAAGUCAACAUCUCUUUCUAACAUGUAUUACUAUAUUAGCAAUGACAUCUCUUUUAAUCUUUUGUCUGGUGAGGUCAUAUGGUUGAAUAAUGUCUCUUUCCUUCUUAAAUAUUGUCUCAACUACUCAAUAUAUGUAUAUGGUUGGUGGGGUCUAUGGUUAACAUUUUUUAAUUUGAUUUUUAACAGGUUUGCUAAAGCUAAAACUAAAAGAUUCAUCUAAACCAAGCAGUAACAUCGUUAAACCUCACAAGUCUCAGAACCUAUGGCCAUUCAAGAAACAUAAGCUUGAAUGUGACCCGAUUGAGAGACUUUUGAAAGAAGCGAGCAGAGACUUUGAGACUGUCUACGUAAGCCAACUCUGCCUCUCGUGGGAGAUGCUUCGUUGGCAAUACACAAAACUCUUGGAGUUUGAUUCUCACGUUGCUACUACUUAUCAAUACAACUUAGUUGCUGGAGAGUUUCAACUGUUCCAAGUCCUGCUUCAACGGUUUGUGGAGAAUGAGCCGUUUCAAAGUUUAUCUAGAGUUGAGACUUACUUGAAGAACCGUCGCCAUUUCCACAACUUCCUUCAGAUUCCACUUGUUAGAGGUAACAAAAAUUCUUGAGUUUAUCCUGAGCCUUUGCUAAUGCAAGACUCUCUUUUAGCAUGUGGAAGUGAGGUGGUUGAACAUGAUCCGAGUAUAAAAAUAACAUUAAUUUAACUUUUUUUGAAAUAAAUUUAGGAUUUAUAGAUAUAUAUUUUUUUUUAAAUAUGAGAGUUAUUUAAUUUAAAACUACACCAACAAAAAAAAACAACAAAUAUUGACUUAUUUAUGUGAAUAUAUAUUUUAUUUUAAAUCAUUAUAGUGGACGAAUAAAACACCAUAAUUUGUACAACAAAUUUUCUUAGAUUCACCUCAUCAUACUCACCAAUUUACCAUUUUAAUUACAUAAUUUUACAUGAGCUUCUUCACCCUUCCCGGUUAUUUUCUCUUUAUUUAUAACUACAAUAUAAAGUUAUAAACUAUAUAUUAUAAAUUAAUAAUUUAUUUACCCCUUAAAGUCUAAAGAUUAAAAAUAGAACAUAAUUCAAUAUAGAUAUAUGAUUCUAUUAAUAAAUUAGCAGUUACAAAUUUGAAAUUUUUAGAAAUAUCAAAAGUUGUGUUAGUUAAUUAUCUUCUAAAUUAUGUCUAUUGCUAAUUUUUUUAUGAGAAUAUUUUGGUUGAGGUGGAUAGUCUCAAAAGCCUUGAAUUUAGUCCCUUUUAUAUAGUAGGAUAGAUUGACAUAUUAAUGACCUAAAAUAGUCUUAAAUAGGAGAGAAUUAAUUCACCAACCUGAAUCCUAAACUUUUAUGCACGGCAUAAAUGUUUGAGCAUUGAAUCUCUAAGCAUUUAAUUUAUCACACUAAAAAAAGGGGAGUCAUCUGGUAUCUUAUCAGAAUAAUACUCUAUGAUUAGUGAGGUGAAGGAUUUAACAAAUCACAUAAAAAACAAAACUUAAUUAUCAAGUGGGGACGAAUGGCAAAGAUGUAAAUAAACCGAAACGCGAGGGACUUAUUUAACCAACCCUCUCUUUACCUUAGCUUCAAAACAGAGAUCCUCCUCUUCUUCAUCAUCAUCAUCAUCAUCAUCAUUUCGCGUCUUUCUGAUCACAGAAACCCUAAUUUCUUAAGAACCCUAAUCUCGAUUCCACCCUUCUUCCUUCCAGACUCUGUAUGUAAAUGCAUCUAAAGAAUUCAACUGUAGCAGAACGGCGGUUCAUCGGAAAAGAAGCCGCCAGUUAUCCACCUUCCUCCGAUUUGGAUCCGAAACCAAAGAUUAAGCAUCAUCGCCCCCUUCAAGUACCCGAAACGCUAACCCCAGAGAAACCCACGUACCGAAGCGCCAUUGGAGCAAACCCUUAUAAUCAAUCGCAAGCCCAGAGCCAUCUCACCGUUGAAAUCCCAGAUUCAUCGUCUCCGCAAAAGAGGCCUGCAGCGGCGGCGGCUCAAUCCUCUCAUCCGUUUAACGAUUUCCGCCGCGGAGGAGGAGGAAGCGACCGUGGAAGCUUGGGUCUUUUGUCGUUUCUCUCGUCUUCUCUUCCGUCGAAUCAGAAGCUGCUCCGUCAAGUCAUCCGAGUUCGUUUGAUAUGUUUCCACCUCCGUUUCCUGCUUCUCCUCUCCGUUCCUCCUCUCUACAUCUUCUUCCUGUUAAUCAGUGUCCGAGUCGUCCUCCUCUUCGUCUUCUCCAUCAUCGCUUUCUCGUUCA